AUAUAUGUCUAUAUUGUGAAAUAAUUACCGCAAUCAAGUUAGUUAACACAUCUAUUUCCUUACCUAGUUACCGUGUGUGUGUCUCUGUGAUGAGAAUACUUGAGAUCUAGUAUCUUAGCAAAUUUCAAGUAUACAUUGUUAUCAAAUAAUGUCACUAUGCUACAUUAGAUCUCCAGAACUUACUCAUCUUAUGACAAAGUUUUAUCCUUUGACCAACAUCUCCCCAUAUCUCCUACCUCUUAGCCCCUGCAGCCACCAUUUUACUCUUUCUGUGAGUUCAUCUUUUUAAAAUUUGACAUGUAUAUACCCAGAAAUGGGCUUGCUGGAUUAUAUGGCAGUUCUAUUAUUAAUUUGUGGAGGAAUCUCCGUAAUGUUUUCCAUAAUGGCUUCUACCAACAGCGUACAAAGGUUCCCUUUUGCCCAUAUCCUUGCCAACACGUAUUAUCUGCUGUCUUUUUGAUAAUAGCCAUCUUAACAGGCAUGAAGUUAUAUCUCCUUGUUGUUUUAAUAAAAUCACA
rnacentral:lncRNA from 10 species